rnacentral:rRNA from 1 species
GAUCCUGGCUCAGGACGAACGCUGGCGGCGUGCUUAACACAUGCAAGUCGAACGAAGAGCGAUGGAAGCUUGCUUCUAUCAAUCUUAGUGGCGAACGGGUGAGUAACGCGUAAUCAACCUGCCCUUCAGAGGGGGGACAACAGUUGGAAACGACUGCUAAUACCGCAUACGAUCCAACCUCGGCAUCGAGGAUGGAUGAAAGGUGGCCUCUAUUUAUAAGCUAUCACUGAAGGAGGGGA